rnacentral:rRNA from 1 species
AUAGCGUAUAUUAAAGUUGUUGCAGUUAAAAAGCUCGUAGUUGAACUUCAGGCCUGACUGGGUGGUCUGCUUAACGGCAUGUACUGUCUGGCUGGGUCUUACCUCUUGGUGAGCCGGUGUGCCCUUUAUUGGUGCGCAUUGGGGAACCAGGACUUUUACCUUGAGAAAAUUAGAGUGUUCAAAGCAGGCUUAUGCCCGAAUACAUUAGCAUGGAAUAAUAAAAUAGGACGUGCGGUUCUAUUUUGUUGGUUUCUAGAGUCGCCGUAAUGAUUAAUAGGGAUAGUUGGGGGCAUUUGUAUUGCGUUGCUAGAGGUGAAAUUCUUGGAUUUACGCAAGACAAACUAUUG